UACGUAGGGGGCAAGCGUUGUCCCGGAUUUAUUGGGCGUAAAGAGCGUGUAGGCGGUUCGGUAGGUCCGUUGUGAAAACUCGAGGCUCAACCUCGAGACGUCGGCGGAAACCAUCUGGCUAGAGUCCGGAAGAGGAGAGUGGAAUUCCUGGUGUAGCGGUGAAAUGCGCAGACUAUCAGGAGGAACACCGAUGGCGAAGGCAGGUCUCUGGGCAUUAACUGACGCUGAGGAGCGAAAGCAUGGGGAGCGAACAGG
rnacentral:rRNA from 1 species